GAUUUCACAGCAUGUAAAAUAAGUGUUUAACUGGUUAAAAUGUAAUUCUGAAUAGGAGGUGUGGGGGGAAGGAGCAUGCUCAGUACAGCAUCUUUGUAGAAUAAAAUUGCCAGCCUCUAACCAACCUCUAUGGAGCAGUUACCGCUUUCUAUUAGGCAAGAAGGAACCUGUUUAUAUAAAGUAGCAGAUGGCCCUGAUCUUUGCUCAUAACUCAGAGUGCAGGUAUGGGAAAUGCAGGCCACGGACGGUUGAGAAGGAACUGAAGGGGUCGGGUCAUGUGCGCUAGAUGAGGCACCAAUGAUGCCACAAGAUGGAGACGGCACAUGUGCGACCCGGACGGGCACUGCUCCUGCAAUUAUCCAAUCAA